UACGUAGGGGGCGAGCGUUAUCCGGAUUUACGGGGCGUAAAGCGCGUUAAGGCGGCCGACAAAGUUGGUGGUGAAAUUUCAGGGCUCAACUCUGAAACUGCCUCCAAUACUGGUCGGCUUGAGUGCGAUAGAGGAAGGUGGAAUUCCCGGUGUAGUAGUGAAAUGCGUAGAUAUCGGGAGGAACACCAGUGGCGAAGGCGGCCUUCUGGCUCGCAACUGACGCUGUAGCGCGAAAGCGUGGGGAGCGAACGGG
rnacentral:rRNA from 1 species